GUGGAUUAGAUACCCUGGUAGUCCACGCCGUAAACGUUGGGUACUAGGUGUGGGGUCUUAUCAACGGAUUCCGUGCCGAAGCUAACGCAUUAAGUACCCCGCCUGGGGAGUACGGCCGCAAGGCUAAAACUCAAAGGAAUUGACGGGGGCCCGCACAAGCAGCGGAGCAUGUUGCUUAAUUCGAGGCAACGCGAAGAACCUUACCUGGGUUUGACAUGGUAGGAAAAGCCAUAGAGAUAUGGUGUCCUUUUGGGCCUAUCACAGGUGGUGCACGGCUGUCGCCAACU
rnacentral:rRNA from 1 species